AGUGGGGAAUCUUGGACAAUGGGGGCAACCCUGAUCCAGCGACGCCGCGUGGGUGAUGAAGGCCUUCGGGUUGUAAAGCCCUUUCACCGGGGACGAUGAUGACGGUACCCGGAGAAGAAGCACCGGCUAACUCCGUGCCAGCAUCCGCGGUAAGACGGAGGGUGCUAGCGUUGUUCGGAAUCACUGGGCGUAAAGGGCGCGUAGGCGGCCAAGGCAGUCGGCUUUGUGAAAGCCCGGGGCUCAACCCCGGAGGUGCGGCCGAUACUCCUUGGCUGGAGGCCGGAAGAGGAGGGUGGAAUACCCAGUGUAGAGGUGAAAUUCGUAGAUAUUGGGUGGAACACCGGUGGCGAAAGCGGCUCUCUGGUCCGGACCUGACGCUGAGGCGCGAAAGCGUGGGGAGCAAACAGGAUUAGAUACCCUGGUAGUCCACGCCCUAAACGAUGUGGGCUAGGCGUCGGGGGGCUUGCCCUUCGGUGCCGCAGCUAACGCGUUAAGCCCACCGCCUGGGGAGUACGGCCGCAAGGUUA
rnacentral:rRNA from 1 species